rnacentral:rRNA from 1 species
UAACGCGUGAGUAACCUGCCUUUCAGAGGGGAAUAACGUUCUGAAAAGAACGCUAAUACCGCAUAACGUACAGUUACCGCAUGGUAGCAGUACCAAAGGAGCAAUCCGCUGAGAGAUGGACUCGCGUCCGAUUAGCUAGUUGGUGGGGUAAAGGCCUACCAAGGCGACGAUCGGUAGCCGGACUGAGAGGUUGAACGGCCACAUUGGGACUGAGACACGGCCCAGACUCCUACGGGAGGCAGCAGUGGGGGAUAUUGCACAAUGGGGGAAACCCUGAUGCAGCAACGCCGCGUGUGGGAAGAAGGUUUUCGGAUUGUAAACCACUGUUCUUGGUGAAGAUAAUGACGGUAACCAAGGAGAAAGCUCCGGCUAACUACGUGCCAGCAGCCGCGGUAAUACGUAGGGAGCAAGCGUUGUCCGGAUUUACUGGGUGUAAAGGGUGCGUAGGCGGCUAGGCAAGUCAGACGUGAAAACCAUGGGCUCAACCUGUGGACUGCGUUUGAAACUGUUUAGCUUGAGUGAAGUAGAGGUAGGCGGAAUUCCCGGUGUAGCGGUGAAAUGCGUAGAGAUCGGGAGGAACACCAGUGGCGAAGGCGGCCUACUGGGCUUUAACUGACGCUGAGGCACGAAAGCAUGGGUAGCAAACAGGAUUAGAUACCCUGGUAGUCCAUGCCGUAAACGAUGAUUACUAGGUGU